rnacentral:rRNA from 1 species
UACGAAGGGGGCUAGCGUUGUUCGGAUUUACUGGGCGUAAAGCGCACGUAGGCGGAUCGUUAAGUCGGGGGUGAAAUCCUGGAGCUCAACUCCAGAACUGCCUUCGAUACUGGCGGUCUUGAGUCCGGAAGAGGUGAGUGGAACUCCUGGUGUAGCGGUGAAAUGCGCAGAUAUCAGGAAGAACACCCGUGGCUAAGGCGGCUCUCUAGUACGGUACUGACGCUGAGACGCGAAAGCGUGGGGAGCGAACAGG